GACGAACGCUGGCGGCGUGCUUAACACAUGCAAGUCGAACGGUAAGGCCCUUCGGGGUACACGAGUGGCGAACGGGUGAGUAACACGUGGGUGAUCUGCCCUGCACUUCGGGAUAAGCCUGGGAAACUGGGUCUAAUACCGGAUAGGACCACUGCCUGCAUGGGUGGGGGUGGAAAGCUUUUGCGGUGUGGGAUGGGCCCGCGGCCUAUCAGCUUGUUGGUGGGGUGAUGGCCUACCAAGGCGACGACGGGUAGCCGGCCUGAGAGGGUGACCGGCCACACUGGGACUGAGAUACGGCCCAGACUCCUACGGGAGGCAGCAGUGGGGAAUAUUGCACAAUGGGCGCAAGCCUGAUGCAGCGACGCCGCGUGAGGGAUGACGGCCUUCGGGUUGUAAACCUCUUUCAGCUAUGACGAAGCGCAAGUGACGGUAGGUGCAGAAGAAGGACCGGCCAACUACGUGCCAGCCGCCGCGGUAA
rnacentral:rRNA from 1 species